GGAGCCGGACAAACCGUCGCUGCGGAUCAUUGAAUCCGGAGAGGAAAGUCCGGGCUCCACAGGGCAGGACGCUGGAUAACACCCAGGGGGGGCGACCCCCGGACAGCGCCACAGAAAGUAUACCGCCGCGCCUGGCGCGGUAAGGGUGAAACGGUGAGGCAAGAGCUUACCAGAGGCUGCGGUGACGCAGUCUGCUAGGCAUACCCCGUCUGGAGCAAGACCAAAUAGGGAAAGCGGCCGGCCCGGCCAUUGCUUUCCGGGUAGGUCGCUGGAGGGCGCGGGCAAUCGCGCUCCUAGAGGAAUGACGGUUACGCGCGUUUUGGCGCGCGACAGAACCCGGCUUAUCGUCCGGCUCCCGCC
rnacentral:RNase_P_RNA from 1 species